rnacentral:rRNA from 1 species
CCUACGGGAGGCAGCAGUAGGGAAUAUUGCUCAAUGGGGGAAACCCUGAAGCAGCAACGCCGCGUGGAGGAAGAAGGUUUUCGGUAUGUAAAGCCCUUUUGUUAGAGAAGAUAAUGCCGGUAUUUAACCACUAAUCACCGGCUAACUCCGUGCCAGCUGACAUGGCCCUAUGGCGGGUGCAAGCGUUACUCGGAAUCACUGGGCGUAAAGGGCGCGUAGGCGGGAUAGCAAGUCCGAUGGGAAAUCCUAUGGUUUAACCAUAGAACUGCAGUUGAAACUGUUAGUCUAGAGUAUGGGAGAGGUAGGUGGAAUUCUUGGUGUAGGGGUGAAAUGCGUAGAGAUCAAGAGGAAUACUCAUUGCGAAGGCGACCUACUAGAACAUAACUGACGCUGAUGCACGAAAGCGUGGGGAGCGAACAGGAUUAGAUACCCGAGUAGUC